AGAUUUCCAAUCCUGAAACCGCUGCAUUGACGUCAAACCGUCAAGAAAGCUGGCCGGACGGCAGUUAUCUACCCGUGAGUCCCAUCAACUUUGUAAAGAGCCUCCUCCCUUGGCUGACCCCAGAGAUCUUCAUCGUUGGAGUAAUCCAUAGGGCUCGUUUUGAUGGCUGAAAAAGAGGGGGGAGAGGAGGCGUGCCAAGACUUCUUCCUCAGGCAGUGCUGAAUUCUGCUCUCCUUCGUGUUUGGUGAUCACGUGACAUGAGGUCAUAGGUCUGGGACUAUGAGGUCAUGAUGGAUCAGUCAUUCGUAUAAUGCACUGGGGUGUGUCUACCAUUAGGUACUGCUGGCACACAGACACGCACAUGCACACGCCCAUGCAUUUGUUACUCAAAUCUGUUUUCCUGUGUAAAACUCAUUUCUGGAGAAAUUUUCAAAUUCAAGCACGCUAUUUCCUUAAAAUGUUUCCCUUUACCUUCAAGAUAUGAUUUGUAAUGAACUGAAUUCCGAUGGGCUUGUAACUUGAGAUGGUUUCUGCUGUAUUUUGAAAUGGUGGUUAACAAAAUCCUGGCAGUGCAGUAAUGCUGCUAUGUAAACAAAACAUGACAGCGAGUCCCACGUCUCACUU